GCAGCACUACAAUUUGCGCUCAGUCGUCUUGCUGCCUAUUUUUCUCUGCUGUUCACGUCACUCUUGGAAAAAAAGGUUGCAUCCUAAAAGGUUCUCCAGCUUGUCCUUCAGGGGAGCCUUUAAAGGUUCUAUGCAGCAUUCUAGAAGAAAGUAUAGAAUUCCUUAAUAAUACUGCUAACUAUCCAAUAACCUCUGAGGACCCUUUUUUUCUAAGCGUGUACAUAGCGUUAUAUUUUACAAUGUUCCUCUGUUGUGUUCCUUAACUUAAUCGGCGACUCAUUAGCUCAUUAGCCACAUUUACAAGACUGAAUGUUUUUUUAUUUUUUUGUGCUCUAAAUUAGUGUUUCGAAGAUCCUCCUUGCCUCUGAUCAGUCGGUCUUUGUCCCAUCUGAAAAUAAAUCAGUGCUUGAGAGCUCAUUUUCAGCCUAGGUUUCAAGCAUGGGAUAAUCCUGAUGCGGGGGGUUUGUAAAAGUGUAUGUGCAUGAACGUGUGGAGAUAGUUUGCAUGUUGGUAGGAUUUAUGAGAAGGUGGAAAGAGAAUGUUGAUCGAUGGAUGUGUUAGUUAGUUUAGGAGGCGGUUCGGGCUCAGUCAGGUGAUAAGAGAUCAAGUCGGACAGCUGUGAUGUACCUGUUCGAGGACAUUCGCACGAAUUGUAGCCAUGAAGACAUGAAAUCUGACAGGUGUCGGGGAAAACUGCAUGAAACAGAUGACCAAGCUUCAGAGAUAAUUAACGGUCAGUAUGAGGCCUGUGUAGCCUGUAUGAAUCAUGUAUAGCUGAGCCGGGAAGCCUUGACAGCUCGUCUGAGGUUUUAGUAAAAGCUGUAGCUGGUGCAGCUUUGCCUCGGGCCUGCAUUUCUAAAAAAAAAAAAAAAAAAAACAUGGCUUAUUGCUAGUGCUUUGGUAGAUGAUUGCGUCUGGCGUCAGGGCCUUUUGGUAUUCCGCACGGAUCGACUGUGGGCGGCCUUCAUUACAAAGCAGACGUUUGGAGCACUGUGGGCACAGAGUGCUGCUGUGAAAUCACAUUAGCCAAGCAGCCAGUUAAUUACAGCUCUUUGGGGGUCGCAUCCUGAAUCCCAGUGACAGCUAACUGAGGAAAUCGAGAAGUGCAUAUGGAUUAAUGAUGUGUCAGCGAGGGGAAACGUCUUCCCAUCCGACAUGUGGCUUAUUCAGAGCCGCUAAAACGUGACCACCGGAUCGACCUGACUCGAAAGACCUUUUGGUGAGGAGCUGAAAGAGAAAGCUAGCUGUAUGUGUGGUCUGGUGAGACAUAUGAAGUGUUUUUGAGGAAUUUCUGUAGGUGUUCAUUUCAUGUUUGGGGUUUAUCCGACGCUGUUGGCGUGAUAGAGCUGGAUCCAGAGUGGCAGGGUGCUGUGUUUUUCAUGCUGCCUUGUUGAUGAGAAGCAGCGAGGAACGGCGAACACGCUGGGUCUGUCUAAUGUCUCGCCGCUUGCUAUCUCUGUCGCUGUUUGACUCCUCGCUCUAAUUAUCAUUUCUCUUGUAUUAAUUAACAGUCGAGGAAUAACGGCAUGCUGAGGCAGAUGACGACUCGCUCGAAAGCCAUCGACCGCUGUGUGUUGCAUCAAGUCUCACUCUGCCGACAGUAAACAUGCCAUGGAGAACUGGGUUUAUUAGCAGGGGGGCUUUUAACAACCCGCCCUCAGGAUCGGGUCUCAGUCAGUUAUGUGGACCUCUUCUCCUACAAUAAUUUAAUUGGGAUGUUCAGUACCUUUUUGAAAGCAAGCAAGUGGUCUACAGCUUUACUGUUUGUUUUCAGCAAUGUUUCAUUGUUUUAUCUAUUUUGUAUUUUGUUCAUGUUUACAUUGUAUCCUGCAUUGCCCUAAAAAAAACAAACAAAAAAAACCAAUAAAAUAUAUCAUUCUUCUUCUUUCAUCUCACUGUCACACUGUCAGAGAUUCUUUUUACUAAAUGUAGACUCAGUUCAAACA
ensembl:lncRNA